CAAAACAAAAACAUUUAAAAUUGGGAUUAGGUGGAGUUGUUGUUAGAUAAAAGAAGCGUUAGUGCUGUCUACAGAAUGGAUUUGUAAUGAAGUAAUUAAAAACACACUGGAAAUAACUUCCUGUGUCUCUGCAAUAUUUACAUCAGUCAACUGAUUUCUAAUUAAUUAAGGACAAUCUAAAUGUAAUCUACUGUAGUGAAAACAAUUGCUUUUCAAAUCUUUGAAAACAUUGACUCACUAGACAUGAGAAAAGGGUUGUGUGGGUGGGUGCCACCUUUUAGAACGAAUGUAUUCAUUCCUGACCCUUCACUCUUCUUGAUCCCACCCAAUGGGUACUACUGCACUUAUCUGACAUUCCAUUUUGCUGUCUUUCAGACCUCCUCUGCUGAUCUCUCCUCUGCCCCCAGGGCACGCAACCUGACUUACUGCUUCCUGGAGUGUGCUGCAAUGCCAUGCGGUGCCAUCACCCAGGACAUGGGAAAAGGUGAGAGCUUCAGAUCUGCUGUGACCCUCCUCAAAGGACAAGACAUCCAUGUUGAAGGUGCAGAUGCAGAUGCAGUGCACCCACGUAUGCGUUAAGGCUCCUACAAGCUUUCCAAUAACAUCUUGGACCCCUGCAGAACAAACACCAGCCUUCAGGCUUUCCUUCUCAUGUCCUGUGGUUUCCUUACCGUAAGUCAUGCAUCUUAGAUGUAAUUCAGGAGUUACUCUUUCCUUCCUGAUCCUCUCUAGCUGGAUGCAAUCCUGCAUUACUUUGAAACUAGGUGAGCCCUUAAAACUCCCACAGGCUUUUAAUAUUAUUUCAGAUGUAUACAUUUUAAAUGAGGUGCAUUUUUAGCCAGUUGAGGCUAAGUGUUGAGUUUGAAAUAAGGCAGAAAGCAGUGCAAGGCACACAGAUGCACACUAUCUGCCCUUCAGUGGUUCAGUACAGCUAAAGGGCUAAGCAUUUAAUUUCAUGCCUUACACUACAGUUUUGCUGCAGUCAUUAAGAAGUUUCAUCCCUCUGUUAUCACACCUCUAUACUAAGAACAUGUAGGCUAACUUCAGCCUAUUUAGCUCAUUAUAAGAGCUUCUUAUAAAAAGGUGCCAACUCUGGACUUUGCUGGGUCAGAGGGAAAACAAUUAUAAUCCUCCACUGGGGUAUCCUCUCAGCUGUGAUGACUACAUUAACAGCAACAAGCCUGCCAAAGUUGCACAGCAUCCUAAAUAAGAACCUCUGCGUGAUCUGAUGGCAGCAGUCUCCAAACUGUCUCACUUUUAAUUUAAGGGAACUGGUCUGGACUGAGAAAGGCUGAGGAUACAGUUUGCCAGAGAAGUCAGAAAUGAAAGGCUAAAAAGACCAUUAUAAAGUGCUCUGUCUUUUAGCAGAACACUAGUUAUGGAAUUAAGACCAGCUGAGUAUAAUUGUUAAAAAUGCACAGAACAAUAUUAUUUGAAAUGGAGUACACAUAUUAGCAGCACAAGGAUAUUAUUUUAAAGACAUCUUAAUCUGCUGUCAUGACAGUUAGAUAGUGUACUAUAUCAUCAUGGGAUUAUCUACACUGGAUACUAUCACUGAUAAAUGAAUACACUGACAGCAUGUAAUGAAGGCUUGGAAAAAAAGUGGACAGUAAUACUGUGGGACUGAGAGAGUGCACAAUCCAGGGAAGUAUGUGAAAAGGUCCUUGGGAGACAGCAUGUAAAAUCCUGAGAAGAGAGUGGAGAAAAGCAGAGUUUGCCAUGUAUAGGCUAUCUAGUUUGGGUCGUGUAUCUUGUGAGAAACCACUAUGAUUUCUUUUCUUGAGCAAAAUGUGAAGUUAAAAAAUAGCCCUUCCGGGAGCAUGUGAAAAUCUGUUUAAAUGGUUAGUAUAUACACAAAAUGCUUUAAAUAAAACAGAACAUUUAUUGCUUUGUUCAGUAUUCUAAACAUAAACUGAACCAUUGUGUGUAAAUGUCAUACAUUGUGCACUGCGAUAGGGCCUUGAAGAAGCAGUGUACACUUCUCUUCGAAGCCUUAGAGGGCUUUAAAUUUGUCCCUUUUAAAAUGAGAAACAAAACAAAUUAAAACAAAUCCAACACAACAUCUGCUGAAUCUUGCUUAGAAAAAAGACACCAAAGCUAAAUGAAUUUGGUUUGAGGAAUUUCUCAUCUGUAGUACUGGGAGAGGAAUAUGAAAGUCAGAGUUUUUAUAUAUUCUUCAAUGGGCUGUUACUGGAGAGAAAAGAGAAGGAAUUCCUUGGAGAUUCAGGAGGAAGAUAAAAACCACAAAAGCCAUAGUGGAAAGCCUUCUGAUGGAAGGAGAUUUUUUUUUACGCAUGACACAAAAUGAAGUAAGUGGGUCUGUCUCUUCAAGAGAUGUUUAGAACAAGGUCAUAGACCCCGUGGUCAUGAUGGGAGACACUGACCCUUAUGGCACCCUGACAAGCUCCUUGGAAAGGAAGUUUUCAGUACCAUUGGGAUUUUGAGUGCUGCUACAGUCGUGUUCCUUGCGCUGCACAACAGAGAAGGAAGAUAAGCUAAUGCGUCUAAGCAACAAUUUUUCUGAUAUGAAAAACUGAGGUCAAUUGCCUUAUUUGCAACACAAUGUGUUAAUUCAGUUCCUUAGUUCAAGUCUGAGUCGGUAUUCUUCAACUGCUUUAAGUCAGCCAAACAAAUUACAAUGGCUAAUUGUUUUGUUACUGUUGGACUUAUUUUCUUUACUGCACAAGCUGCAGUAGGCAUUGCUUCUUCACUGUGUUUUCAAGCUUCUAUAAAGCCAUAUGGAGGUUUCAGAGAUAAUUUGAGAAUGAGAGCUAGAUUGUUAAGUCCCGUCUUUUGAUCUACAAAAGAUUUAAAUGUCACUGGCAAAGGAUUCUUUUAUAUAUUUGUAAAUAUACAUAUGUAUAUAUUGUAGAAACUAAUGUUUUGACCUAUUAUAACAGCAUUUUGGAUCUAAAGAAGAUUUGAUGGGUUUCUGCUUUCAGGUAACAAUCUUUUUUCUCUUCUAAUAGCACAGUCAAAUCUGAUCUUUAGACUGAGUUUACUGAAGAAGUGUCCUUUGACAUCCCGCAGAUAAUUGGUGAGACGAUACCACAUUUGCUGUGUAGAAUGUAAAUUAGGACACACCAUUUGCAAAGUACUGAACUUUAAAUCUUAGCUGGCAAAAUCAAACAGAACACAGAAUCUUAAGUUGAAAAAUCUGAAUAAUUCCAACCCUGUUCAAAAUUUCCAUCCCCUGAGAUGAAAUCAUUUGCCCAGUUCUUAGUUGUCAAGAAGUCUUCAUGGCCAGAUGUUGAAGAUUCCUACUAUAGAAACCUGACCAGAAGGGUAGGUUACUUAUUAAUAACUGGGGUUCUUUGAGGUCAAGAACUGUCACACACAUACAUUUACACUGUUGAUUGUUCAUAUGCUUUACCUUCCAGACCAGAAAACAUUUACAUUUUGGGACAGCUAGAAAGGACGUGUAUUUGUACACAUCCUAGUGCAUCAGUCUUUGUUCAAUCAAAGACAAGAAGGCUCAACUUGCCAAGAGUGCUACAAGGAAAUGAACAUGGCUGGCAUUUGCUUGUAACAGCUGUGGUCUGCAUGCAGCUUUCAUGAACAGACACUCCUGCAACUUAAAUUCGUGCAUCUUUCUCAUGCUGGAUUUAAAGUGACGGUCAGUUGCAUACUCUUCUGAAUUCAUCCUUCUCUUCUAAUGUGGCACAGAGAGAUAUUUUGUAUGCAACAUGGCCAUGGAAACAGGCCUCCCAAAUGUGCCUCUGAGACUCUUGCAAAAGCCAUGCAUGUAGGAUAGACCAACAGGAGAGACUCAUUUGCUCAUGAGCUGAAAGCUCGUGGUGGCUGAGUGCUCCAUCACAAGAAGGCUGUGAGGAUAAAUUAAAAUGACUUUCCACAUUCUGCCUAAUAUGCUCUCAGAGAGUAUAGUCUGGGCAUGCUGUUGUUGGGUACUGCAAAGGAAAAAAGUUUUCCAUUCUUAAGAUGUGCAGAUACUAUUCUGAUUGUAUCUGGAUGGUCACGAGAGCAGAGAACAACUUCAAAAGAAAUCUUCAGUCCCCAAAUCCACUGGAAGAAGGCAAUAAACAGAAGUUUGAGGCCUGAAGCCAUGUAUUUUUCAUUGCUGCAAAAUAUGUGUACUAGCAGUUUUCAGUGCUUAUCCAGAUUAAGUCUGCACAAUGAAGGACAGAAGACUUCAGAGAAGGGAAGUCUUGGGUUACACAGAACCCCUGUCUAUCCUGGGCAUGAACUAGAGCAGCUGUUGUGCCUGUUUAUGCUUUUUGCCCUCUUUUCAUCAGUGUGUUGGACAAUGAAGGAACGUCUGACUGAAAUUUCUUUGGAUGUCUCCCAUGCUUCAACUGGACUAUGGUGCAGGAACUAUUAUCAUAGUUUCUUUCUCCAAAGAGAAAUCCUUCAUUGGUGGUUUUGACUCUGGUUUCUGCAAGUGGAUGUGUGAAGUGAGUUUAAAAUAUCGAUCAAUACAUUUUCUUCUACUCCCAAACUUCAAAAUAUCUUAAGCAAGUCUGAUGUCACUCCCAGUUUUCAUUACAACAUCCUAACUCUGAGAAGUUGAGUCACUUUUAAAUAAUACGCAUCAGUGAUACUUGUGUCACCAUGCUGUUAGACUGAAAAACUUCCAUAUUUGCAAAAACAAAAAAAGAGUUCUUUACUGUUUCCUAAACUAAAGGACCUAAUUUUCAUCUCAGUGCAUAUAUUAUACAUAUGUAUAUUUAUGUGUGUGUAUAUAUAUAUAUAUGUAUAAUAUAUAUUAUUGCCUGAUGUAGGGGGUCUGCUUUGAAGGGGGGUUGUACUCAAUGAUCUCUGGAGGUUCCUUCCAACCCCUACAAUUCUGUGAUUCUGUGAUUAUAUUACCAUAUUAUACAAGAUUUAAGAUGCUUCUUUUUCACACUUUACUGCGUAUUUUACCAUUUUCAACUUUAUUUUUCUUAUUACGAUUGGAUUUCCAUCCCUUGAAAAAUGAAGAGGACUCUAUCUAUUAGCAAACUGGAAGACCAGGCUCCUCUGUAAGUUCUAGACUUAAAUUGAAUGUACUGUAUGCUUAUGUUGCAAAUAUUUACUUUUUUUUUUUCACAGUUUUGUACUUCCAUCAGUAAUAUCAGAUUCUGAGAAAUAAAACAGUACC